AUUGAACGCUGGCGGCAUGCCUUACACAUGCAAGUCGAACGGCGAGCACGGGGGCAACCCUGGUGGCGAGUGGCGAACGGGUGAGUAAUACAUCGGAACGUGCCCAAUAGUGGGGGAUAGCCCGGCGAAAGCCGGAUUAAUACCGCAUACGACCUACGGGUGAAAGCGGGGGGAUCGCAAGACCUCGUGCUACCGGAGCGGGCCGAUGUCAGAUUAGGUUGUUGGUGGGGUAAAAGCCUACCAAGCCGACGAUCUGUAGCUGGUCUGAGAGGACGACCAGCCACGACUGGGACUGA
rnacentral:rRNA from 1 species